rfam:Hordeum vulgare subsp. vulgare, WGS project CAJW01000000 data, contig: morex_contig_1586411
CUCCAAGACGAUGGCAAGGUGAUCUCCUACAUCCUCCCUGGCCUGGACAUGGAGUACCAGCCUCUUGUCUCCACCCUUGACGCUUGCACGCACUGGUCACCCUUGACGAGCUCUUUGGACAGAUGAACAAUUUUGA